AGCCUAUGUUAUACAUUAUAGAUUUUAAUUUUACCAAUGCUACCUAUUUCCUUCUGUUGAUUUUUUUUUGGUCUCAUAUCCCAUUAAGAAAUAUUAAUUGCUGGUAUCUGAACUAAAUCUAAUGAUGUUUACAACCUAAGAUGGACACCAAGUAAAUUUGUUAUUGAACCAAAAGCAUCAAUCGUUCCCAUCUCCUAUUUCAUUGACAACACUUUGAGAACUCUAAACACGAAGCUAGUAAAAGUGGCCUUUUUUUUUUUUUUAAUCCAU
rnacentral:misc_RNA from 1 species